UAUUACAUUACAAGUCAAACAAAUCGAUAUAUCACGAGACGAGAGACAUCGCUAAGAUGAAUUUGUCAGAACUAUCGUGUUGAGGGAAGAAUUGGACAAGUCUCAAUUCUGGCCCAAAAAGAGUUGACAGCUCGAUUUCGACUUAUAAGUCAAAGCCCGUUACAAACAAAGCCCAAUCCAUUGAAAAUGAAUGUUCUGGAGAAAGGACAGAUCAUCGCAUUAAACAGAGGGAAUUGGCCGGAUUACCCUCGUCGUACGCCCUAAACAAGCGGCUAUAAAUAAAGAAUGGAAAGAAACGUUGAUGGGACGGGAAUUUGGCACUAAUACAGCGACAAUACAACCACAAGCGAAGAAACGAUUGUUGACGCCCUAAUUCGACGAGCUGAAGACUCGAGGAAGGAUCGCCCUGACCUCAGGAUCGCCGCUCCCACUCUUCCCCGUUCUGAGAUCGUUGCCCUCAACGCGUCUACCUCACUUAGCUUCCGGCUCGAACAACUUGAAGAUUCUUCUUACUUCUCCAGAGAUCCCAUUCUUUGUACUUGUUUGAUUCCUGUAUCAACAUAUCGGUAGAAACAUGUUGAAUUGAUAGG
rnacentral:sRNA from 1 species